GUUUGUGUAGCUUAUCCAGAGUUUAAUAUUGAAGAUAUUAAGGUAAAUUUAUUUCUCAAACA
rnacentral:tRNA from 1 species